CUCCAGCCUGGGCGACAGGGCAAGACUCCGUCUCAAAAAACAAAAAAAAGUCUGGUGGACAGGCUGGGCCUACCCCCAGGGGACCCCAGGGCAAGCCUGGGCAGAGCUCCAGGAGGCGUGCAGCAGCGCCCAGCCAGUCUCAGAUGUGCGUCAGCCACAGGCUCCAGGGGCCACGUGCCUGGCCACACCUGCUGGUUUCCAAAACACCCAGCACCUGCAGGCCCAGCCUCCCCAGGAGGGGCAGCACCCCUGCUUGAGGACUCCUGGUUCCACCCAAAUCCCUGCUGCUUGGGGUCCUCUUCCACCCCUGGGCAGCCCCCAUGCCCUCAGGCCUCCCAGACCACCACCUUGGCCUGUGCCCCCUCCAGGACCUCACUGGUCCCCAUGCCGUACCCCACCCCUUAUUGCCUCCUCCAAGCAAACCUUGCAUCAGCUCCCAGGAGACACACGCUGGAGCAUGCUGGAGCCUCAGGACAGCAUUCUAGACAAACAGCCUCAGGCCCCAGGGGCAGUCCCAGGAGAAGGCCGUGGCUUUGGGGUGAGUCCUGCCUAGGAGUCAAGGGGCUGAGACCCUGGGGGUUCUGCAUGGAGCCCUGGGCCUGGAUGGCCCUGCUGAAGGGCCACAGCUGCCCCCUCCUGCCCCAGGGCAUGUGCUGUGGUGCCUGCCUCCACUUCAGAAGAUGUCGGGGCUGCACUUGGGUCCCAGUCAUGAGUCCCAGGGACUCCACUGCCCUGAUGGGCUGGGCUGACAUUGUACAUUCUGGACUCCCUGAGGCCAAGGCCUGUUAUCUCCAAGCCUUGAAGAUGGGAACUAGUGGAGCCCAGGCCUGGGGGCAACACCCAGUCUGAGAGGGGCAGGCCUGCCUCUCACGCCUACCCCCAGAGAGCUUCAGCCACUCCCAAGGGCUGGCCAAGCUGGCCUGGGUGGACACUGCCCAUCUUCCCCACGCCCAGGCCAGCACUCCCAGGAGUCCCUCCUGCAGGGAUAUUGGCAGCUCCAGGACAGUCCUCAGCUACACAUGUCCCCACCAUGUGCCCUGCCAGCCUGUGGCUCUGCAGGCCCCUGAGACACCCUCCCCAUGCCUGCUUCUCCACCCAAACAUUUAGAAGCAUCUCAUGCUAAAAAGGUCCAAAAAGCAGCCCAUGCUCUCCCACCUCCGCUGUAACGGCUCUGCUGCCCCGUUGCUUACAACACCCAGGUGUCAGCCUCGACUCCCCCACUGCCCUCGACCCUGUGCCACCAGCAAAUCUGUCACUCAGGAAUACUCAGCCCUGCCCAACCUUCACAGCCCAUCUGCACUCCUCUCUGGUCACCCUGGCCCUACGGGACGUUCUCCUCUCAGCCGCCAGAGGGGGUCAUGGCCCUGAAUAAUCAGAACAAUCUUGAAAACAAAGAACAAGGCCAGGCACGGUGGAUCACUCUUGUCAUCCCACCACAGUGAGAGGUUGAAGUGGGAGGAUCUCUUGAGCCCAGGAGUUCGAGACCAGCCUGGGCACCAUAGGGAUACCCUCUGUCUACAAACAAAACAUUAAAAAAAAAUUAGCUGGGCAUGGCCGGGCGCAGUGGCUCAUGCCUGUAAUCCCAGCACUUUGGGAGGCCGAGGCGGGCAGAUCACGACGUCAGGAGAUCGAGACCAUCCUGGCUAACACUGUGAAACCCUGUCUCUACUAAAAAAUACAAAAAAAAUUAGGCAGGCAUGGUGGCAGACGCCUGUAGUCCCAGCUACUCGGGAGGCUGAGGCAGGAGAAUAGCGUGAACCUGGGAGGCGGAGUUUGCAGUGAGCCGAGAUCGUGCCAUUGCACUCCAGCCUGGGUAACAGAGUGAGA
rnacentral:lncRNA from 1 species